rnacentral:rRNA from 1 species
CCCUUAGAUGUUCUGGGCCGCACGCGUGCUACACUGAGUGGAUCAGCGGGUCAGGUUGCGCGAAAGUGUUUCCUAAUCUUGAAAUCCGCUCGUGAUGGGGAUUGACGGUUGCAAUUUUCCGUCAUGAACGAGGAAUACCUUGUAAGCGCGGGUCAUCAUCCCGCGCUGAAUACGUCCCUGCCCUUUGUACACACCGCCCGUCGCUCCUACCGAUUGAAUGGUCCGGUGAAAUCUUGGGAUUUUGUUUUGUUUGCAUUUAUUUGUAUCGAGACGAGAGAACUUGAGUAAACCUUACCAUUUAGAGGAAGGUGAAGUCGUAACA